rnacentral:rRNA from 1 species
CCUACGGGAGGCAGCAGUAAGGAAUAUUGGUCAAUGGAGGCAACUCUGAACCAGCCAUGCCGCGUGCAGGAAGACUGCCCUAUGGGUUGUAAACUGCUUUUAUCCGGGAAUAAACCUACUUACGUGUAAGUAGCUGAAUGUACCGGAAGAAUAAGGAUCGGCUAACUCCGUGCCAGCAGCCGCGGUAAUACGGAGGAUCCAAGCGUUAUCCGGAUUUAUUGGGUUUAAAGGGUGCGUAGGCGGCCUGUUAAGUCAGGGGUGAAAGACGGUAGCUCAACUAUCGCAGUGCCCUUGAUACUGAUGGGCUUGAAUGGACUAGAGGUAGGCGGAAUGAGACAAGUAGCGGUGAAAUGCAUAGAUAUGUCUCAGAACACCGAUUGCGAAGGCAGCUUACUAUGGUCUUAUUGACGCUGAGGCACGAAAGCGUGGGGAUCAAACAGGAUUAGAUACCCUGGUAGUCCACGCCCUAAACGAUGAACACUCGCUGUUGGCGAUACACAGUCAGCGGCUAAGCGAAAGCGUUAAGUGUUCCACCUGGGGAGUACGCCCGCAAGGGUGAAACGUCGAAAGGAAUUGACGG